rnacentral:lncRNA from 10 species
AGACAGAGUUCCACCAUGUUGCCUAGGCUGGUCUCAGACUCCUGAGCUCAAAGUGAUCUGCCCGUCUCGGCCUCCUGAAGUGUUGAGAUUACAAGUGUGAGCCACUGUGCCUGGCCCCGGCUCCUUUUUUUCAACUGUUUGGUAGAAUUCACCAGUGAAGCCAUCAGGAUUGCCCUAUGUCGUCCAUGCUGGUCUGGAACUCCUGGGCUCAAGAGAUCCUCUCACCUUGGCCUCCCAAAGUGCUGAGAUUACAGAGCUAGAGUCUCAUGAUGUCGUCCAGGCUGGUAUCGAACUCGGCUUCAAGCAGUCCUCUCACCUCAGCCUCUCGAGUAGCUGGAAUUACAGUUGAGAGCCACUGCAUCCAGCUUUGCUCUUUCUUUGAAAGGUACCAUCAUCUAGCUGCCUGGUUGUUCAAGCAAAAACGCUGGUCAUUGUUACUAUUCCUUUUCUGCACACUGCCAAUCAAUCCUAGAAACUGCAGAUUCCACCCCCCAGUAUUUCUCAAACCCACCUCCGGUGACAAUACCCAUCAUCAUCUCUUGUAUUUUUCACUGAAAAAGCCUCUGACCUGAUCUCCCAUCUCCUUCCAAUUCUUUCUGCAUAUUUCAGCAAGAGUGAUCUUCCUAAAAUGCAGAUCUGAAUCACCCUCCUUAUUAAAACUUUUAAGUUUCUUUCCCUUUUUCUUAGGAUAAAUUCAGGGCCAGAUGUGAUGGUUCACACCUGUAAUCCCAACACUUUGGGAGGCUGAGGUGGGAGGAUUGCUUGAGGCCAGAAAUUUGAGACCAGCAUGGGCAACAUAGCAAGAUCCUGUAUCUACAAAAAAAAAAAAUUAAAAAAUUAACUGGGUAUGGUGGCAUGCGCCUGUAGUCCCAGCUACUGGGGAGGCUGAUGCAGGAGGAUCACUUCAGCCCAGGAGCUGGAAGCUGAAGUGAGUUAUGAUAGUGCCACUGCACUUCAGCCUAGUGUCAGAGACCCUGUCUUUAAAAAAAAAAAAAAAAAAAAUCCAGGUGUGGUGGCUUAUGCCUGUAAUCCCAGCGCUUUGAGAAGCCAAGGUGGGUGGAUCACCUGAGGUCAGGAAAAAUUAGCUGGGUGUGGUGGCACGUGCCUGUAGUCCCAGCUACUUGGGAGGCUGAGGGAGGAGAAUCGCUUGAACCUGGGAGGUGAGAUCUCGCCACUGCACUCCGGCCUGGGCGACAUAGCGAGACUCUGCCUCAAAUAAAUAAAUAAAUGAAAAUAUAAAUAAAUAAAUUAAUUAAAAAACAAAAACCUGACUGCUUUAACAUGGCUUAUCAAGCCCUCUGUGACUGGGCCCUUGUUCAUCUUUCCAGCAUCAGCGCUGUUACUUCCAUUCUAG